CAUUGAAAACACUGGUUCUCGUUUGGUCACCAAAGUUAAGCAACGUCGAACCCGGUCAGUACUUAAAUGGGUGACCGCUUCGGAACACCGGU